rnacentral:lncRNA from 1 species
GGGAAGCUUUCUAGUUGGAAUUUUAAUAACACGGUGCUUAGUAUUUUGGUAAGAGGUGUAAAGAGGUAAAAUUAUGUGUACCCUAGGCAGUCAACACAACGAAUCCAGGAAAAUGCUGAGUGUCUCUGUCUUCUGUGGGAUUUCAGAUCUAAUCAGUGGCUCCACAAAGCUUCUGUGUAGCUGUUUUUGAGCCAAAGUAGAUAACUUUGAUGCACAUCAAAAAAUGAGGAUGUUGCAUGAGGCCAAAGUUUGUCUCACAAAUAGUAUGAGGGGAGUAAAUUGAGAAAAGUGGUGCAAAAAAAAAAAAAAAAUGGCACGAUGGAAAAGAUCUUCCUUCCAGGGACAGGCAAUUCUCUAUAGAAGAAAGGCAAAGUAACAAUAACCAAGACUAUAUGACUUUGAAGAUAGGUGAAGAGGCA